UACGAAGGGGGCUAGCGUUGUUCGGAAUUACUGGGCGUAAAGCGCACGUAGGCGGACAUCUAAGUCAGGGGUGAAAUCCUGGAGCUCAACUCCAGAACUGCCUUUGAUACUGGAGAGCUUGAGUCCGGGAGAGGUGAGUGGAACUCCGAGUGUAGAGGUGAAAUUCGUAGAUAUUCGGAAGAACACCAGUGGCGAAGGCGGCUCACUGGCCCGGUACUGACGCUGAGGUGCGAAAGCGUGGGGAGCAAACAGGGAUUAAGAACAUCCGUAGUACGU
rnacentral:rRNA from 1 species